rnacentral:misc_RNA from 1 species
CAGCCCGCGGUAAUUCCAGCUCCAAUAGCGUAUAUUAAAGUUGUUGCAGUUAAAAAGCUCGUAGUUGAAUUUCGGGAUUGACACAUCGGUCGUGCCUUAAGGGGUAUGAACUGGUGUAGUCAAUUUCUCACCUUCUGGAGAACCGCAAUGCCCUUAAUUGGGUGUCGCGGGGAACCAGGACCUUUACUUUGAAAAAAUUAGAGUGUUUAAAGCAGGCAUUUUGCUUGAAUACAUUAGCAUGGAAUAAUAAAAUAGGACGGAUGAUUCUAUUUUGUUGGUUUCUAGGACCACCGUAAUGAUUAAUAGGGAUAGUUGGGGGUAUUAGUAUUCAAUUGUCAGAGGUGAAAUUCUUGGAUUUAUUGAAGACUAACUACUGCGAAAGCAUUUGCCAAGGAUGUUUUCAUUAAUCAAGAACGAAAGUUAGGGGAUCGAAGACGAUCAGAUACCGUCGUAGUCUUAACCAUAAACUAUGCCGACUAGGAAUCAGACGAUGUUAAUUUUUUAAUGACUCGUUUGGCACCUUACG